rfam:Brachypodium distachyon strain Bd21 chromosome 2, whole genome shotgun sequence.
CAAGUACUCCCUCCGUUUCAUAAUUCUUGUCUCAAAUUUGCCCAAAAAUGGAUGUAUCUAUAUUUCUAGAUACAUGUAAUAUUUCGACAAGAAUUAUGGAACGGAGGAAGUAUAUA